UCCGAUGCCGGUGAUGGAGUUCACCGUGUAACCGCCCGUGGGGCCGAUGACUCCUGUUCAUAU
rnacentral:ncRNA from 17 species